rnacentral:ncRNA from 32 species
GAGUUUAAAAUUCAUGCUGGUUUUCCUCCUUUCGCGUCGAAUGUGCGAAGGGGUUUGAGAUGUCCAGGAAAUUAAAAGGGAAACCCUGUUAAAAUCAGGGACGGUCCCGCCACUGUAGCCUCCGCUGCUUCGCUUUGCGAAGCAAAGCGACGGAGGAAGUCAGAACACCUGCCAGUAUAUUAUUAUGUUUC